rnacentral:rRNA from 1 species
AGCUAGUUGGUGAGGUAAAGGCUCACCAAGGCGACGAUCUUUAGCUGGUCUGAGAGGAUGAUCAGCCACACUGGGACUGAGACACGGCCCAGACUCCUACGGGAGGCAGCAGUGGGGAAUAUUGGACAAUGGGCGAAAGCCUGAACCAGCAAUGCCGCGUGGGUGAUGAAGGCCUUCGGGUUGUAAAGCCCUGUCAGUGGGAAAGAAAAAGCCGGUUAACACCCGGACUUGACGGUACCCACAAAGGAAGCACCGGCUAACUCUGUGCCAGCAGCCGCGGUAAUACAGAGGGUGCAAGCGUUGUUCGGAAUUACUGGGCGUAAAGCGCGUGUAGGCGGCUUAUUAAGUCGGACGUGAAAUCCCUUGGCUCAACCGAGGAACUGCGUCCGAUACUGCUAGGCUUGAGUAUCGGAGGGGGUGGCGGAAUUCCUGGUGUAGAGGUGAAAUUCGUAGAUAUCAGGAGGAACACCUGUGGCGAAGGCGGCCACCUGGAAGAUUACUGACGCUGAGACGCGAAAGCGUGGGGAGCAAACAGGAUUAGAUA